rnacentral:rRNA from 1 species
UACGGGGGGGGCAAGCGUUGUUCGGAAUUACUGGGCGUAAAGGGCUCGUAGGCGGCCAACUAAGUCAGACGUGAAAUCCCUCGGCUUAACCGGGGAACUGCGUCUGAUACUGGAUGGCUUGAGGUUGGGAGAGGGAUGCGGAAUUCCAGGUGUAGCGGUGAAAUGCGUAGAUAUCUGGAGGAACACCGGUGGCGAAGGCGGUUCUCUGGGCCUUACCUGACACUGAGGAGCGAAAGCGUGGGGAGCAAACAGG